rnacentral:rRNA from 1 species
GAUAUGGCUCAGGAUGAACGCUAGCUACAGGCUUAACACAUGCAAGUCGAGGGGCAGCAUGGUCUUAGCUUGCUAAGGCCGAUGGCGACCGGCGCACGGGUGAGUAACACGUAUCCAACCUGCCGUCUACUCUUGGGCAGCCUUCUGAAAGGAAGAUUAAUACAAGAUGGCAUCAUGAGUCCGCAUGUUCACAUGAUUAAAGGUAUUCCGGUAGACGAUGGGGA